GAUGAACGCUAGCGGCAGGCCUAACACAUGCAAGUCGAGGGGUAGAGGAAGCUUGCUUCCUUGAGACCGGCGCACGGGUGCGUAACGCGUAUGCAAUCUACCUUUUACAGAGGGAUAGCCCAGAGAAAUUUGGAUUAUUACCUCAUAGUAUCUUUGCCUGGCAUCGGGUGAUUAUUAAAGUUCCAACGGUAAAAGAUGAGCAUGCGUCCUAUUAGCUAGAUGGUAAGGUAACGGCUUACCAUGGCAACGAUAGGUAGGGGUCCUGAGAGGGGAGUACCCCACACGGGUAAUGAGACACGGACCAGACUCCUACGGGAGGCAGCAGUGAGGAAUAUUGGACAAUGGGCGCAAGCCUGAUCCAGCCAUGCCGCGUGCAGGAAGACGGUCCUAUGGAUUGUAAACUGCUUUUGUACGGGAAGAAACACUCCUACGUGUAGGAGCUUGACGGUACCGUAAGAAUAAGGAUCGGCUAACUCCGUGCCAGCCGCCGCCGUAAAAC
rnacentral:rRNA from 1 species